rnacentral:rRNA from 1 species
CCUACGGGAGGCACCAGUGGGGAAUAUUGCACAAUGGGCGCAAGCCUGAUGCAGCCAUGCCGCGUGUAUGAAGAAGGCCUUCGGGUUGUAAAGUACUUUCAGUCGGGAGGAAGGUGGUGAGCUUAAUACGCUCAUCAAUUGACGUUACCGACGGAAGAAGCACCGGCUAACUCCGUGCCAGCAGCCGCGGUAAUACGGAGGGUGCAAGCGUUAAUCGGAAUUACUGGGCGUAAAGCGCACGCAGGCGGUUGAUUGAGUCAGAUGUGAAAUCCCCGGGCUUAACCCGGGAAUUGCAUCUGAUACUGGUCAGCUAGAGUCUUGUAGAGGGGGGUAGAAUUCCAUGUGUAGCGGUGAAAUGCGUAGAGAUGUGGAGGAAUACCGGUGGCGAAGGCGGCCCCCUGGACAAAGUCUGACGCUCAGGUGCGAAAGCGUGGGGAGCAAACAGGAUUAGAUACCCGGGUAGUC